rnacentral:lncRNA from 1 species
UAUAAUAGUUGGCUUAGUUCCAGCUUUGGGGUUCUUAAGAUUCACCACUUAUGACUGAUUACUCUAAGAAUUGUUGGUAUUUGGUAAUAUAGCCCAUGAACUCCUCACCAGUGCCUGUGUAUGACCAUGCUGCAUUUUUAGAGAUUGCUCGACCAAUUUUGCUUGAUUGUAUGCUUUUAUCAAUGUUUGAGGGCCUAACAUCCUUACCUGCAC